AGUGAACGCUGGCGGUAGGCCUAACACAUGCAAGUCGAACGGCAGCACAGUAAGAGCUUGCUCUUACGGGUGUCGAGUGGCGGACGGGUGAGGAAUACAUCGGAAUCUACUUUUUCGUGGGGAUAACGUAGGGAAACUUACGCUAAUACCGCAUACGACCUACGGGUGAAAGCAGGGGAUCUUCGGACCUUGCGCGAUUGAAUGAGCCGAUGUCGGAUUAGCUAGUUGGCGGGGUAAAGGCCCACCAGGGCGACGAUCCGUAGCUGGUCUGAGAGGAUGAUCAGCCACACGGGAAGUGAGAAACGGUCCAGACUCCUACGGGAGGCAGCAGUGGGGAAUAUUGGACAAGGGGCGCAAGCCUGAUCCAGCCAUACCGCGGGGGUGAAGAAGGCGUUCGGGUGGUAAAGACAUUUUGUUGGGAAAGAAAAGCAGCAGGUUAAUACCCCGCUGUUCUGACGGUACCCAAAGAAUAAGCACCGGCUAACUUCGUG
rnacentral:rRNA from 1 species